UUUUCUUACCGCAGAGGCACACCCGACGUCUUUAGAAUGGUAGUAAUGACCUGACCUCAGCCGUAGAGCGGGUACGAUUACGGCAUUACCGAGUACCCGGUACCGCUACUUACCCCAUCGGCACCGCCACGUACGGGUUCACAUGAGGUGUCAGGUGUGCGAAGCGAAAGGGGGUGUGUUUGUGUUUAAGAUAAGCGAACGGCGAGCCGGGAGCAGGGGCAGAGUAUUUGAAGUCGAAACAAGAACCAGAGAAGAGCGGAACGAAGCGCUCCAUCCCCUCCCCGCUACCACCCCAGCGGCUGCUUCGCCGCCCGCUACUCCUCCGGCGACCUCUUCCGGCCCCACCACCCCGAGCGGCAGGACCAGUGCCGCUGGCGGCGCGACGACGACGACGACGAGCAGGCGUGGCGCAGCGAGGCGAUGUGGCGGCGGCAGCUGAUGCGCGAGCGCAGGGGGUCCUUCGAGACCUCGCCGCCCCAGAGGUAGCGCCGGCUCCGCAGCGGAAGCGGCAGGGGCCUCUUCCCCGUGCCCCGGCCACGCCGCCGCUACCGCCGUCACCUCCUCCUCCUCACGCUGGACAAGCUGCCCUCGACCCACACCCUGCUGUCGAUGGGCGAGAUGCUGAGGUUCCUGACGGGGAAGAACCUGCCACCCAAGGCCACGAGGCUCUUGCCGGCCGGCCUGUGCAGGAUACAGUUUACCGCCACCGUCGGCAGCGCGACGCUAGAUGGGUCUAAACUACGGUUCAAAUACGAGCUCUUCGAUGCCUUAUCUUCUCAUCAUAAGCAACCACUAAGUUAACCUUCCUUAGUUACCCUCAGAGACGAAACAUACGAGAGAUCACAACAAGGGUUGUUCUUCAGGUAGAUACUUUAAUUACCUUCAGGGUAGUGUUUCGUGUGCCCAAAGAACUAAAAGUUCAAAUCGCUGAUGUUAACGUGUCACCUCAUAAUGUCUAGAGGAAAAUAUCGGGAAGUACCGGCACGUGGUCGGCCUCGGAGAUUCCAACAAUUCAUGUGUUAAUUCCACCUACGGUACCUAACCUACAGUCUGGCACCAUUCACCUCGUUACGACUAUAAAACUAGAAAUUGUGUCCCGUAACCACCUUGAUGCUCUUUUGUUAAUCUCCCCCGCGGAUAAAAGUUCUUCCGUCAUUCCACUUCUACUUCUACUGACAAUAACUACGUAUGGUUUUUAGUUAUGUUUGUGAGAAGUUAACCCAAGUGUUUUUUCAAUUGUGUUCGUUCUGGGUCCAGUAGAAGGCAUGAAUACGAGGACACGUGAAGUCCAGACAGAUUGCUUGGUGAAUAGUUAGUGACGAUGCAUAAGGAAAAAUACAAAGGAACGAUAUCGUAAAAGUAACUCUUACUAAUACAAAGUUCCGUGGUUUGUUAGUAGCGUACAACAACCGAACUGUGUUAUACAAAACCCGAGUCUUAAAUAAGUAAUACCAAAUAUAAGCUUGAAGCGGUUUUGUAAUAACAAGCUAUAUACUAGGUGGAAAGCGACCGGCAAAAAUGUUAAAAUGACUUAUAUACUCUUACGCCCAACCCGAAAGCCACCUUUCGCCACGAAGAACAUAGAACAGAUCCUUGAACUUUUCGUUUAUUACCUCCGAAGGACUGAAGACACGACAUUUUGUGACCUAAUUAAAGAGGGUAAGGGUAAAAGUUUGGUUAAAUUGUUAUCAACCUGUUUAACUGACUAGGUAUUGAUCUCAUUAGGUACAAAAGGUAUCUCCGCCGCUGACCUUCUCACCUCCCUCAACGGUGAACCUUUGAGAAGGACUACGCUGUGGCAAAUUUAGCGACCUCGUUACCCGCCUGUUCGAACUCGGACAGGUAUUACAAGAACCCUCGUCGUGUUUUGGGUUCUACGGACCUAAUCGAUAUGACUUGCACUGUGUCUACUGCCGUGUCGCUUUUCUACCAGUGAACAGUCACAUGUAGUCGGGAAGCCCCGGACAGGGGGACGCAUCUGUCCUAACGUCGGUAACCACGAACGGACCUCAAGGACUAUGGACCUUGCUCGAACACAUGCGGCAGAAGUACUUUUCCGUUUGCUACCACCUGGUUUUACAAAGGGAACGACGAAGGUCUUGCGACUUGUGUUCAACUGAUUUUAAGAUACCCAUCCGAUGGGCUACGAGCGGGCCACUUCGAAACAUAGACUCCAACCAACCACUAGGAGGACGUGAUACUAAAACGUUCUAUCCUCGACCGAACAUCCUUCAACAUGGUGAGAUUAGACAACAUACAACUCUCCUCUCACGUUUAUUCUCGUUUUAAUUUCUUUCCGUAUGGUGAUACAAAGUGUCUCCGUCGGUUUCAAAAUCGGCUACACUAGUAUCUAAUCUCCCCGACGUAAGCUACUACAUGUAUCAAAUAAUGAAAUAAACCGACGACAGUAUAACCCCCUCAAUGGCACCACUAACAUACAUUAAGUCCUUAAAAUAGGAGUUUCCAUACAAGAGUCACCGAGGCCGUCAACUAAACGUGUAAAGCCCCAAAAAUAGGGUAGGCCUUGUUUACAUUUAUAAAUUACUCUUUACAUUAUCACGUCUGUAAAAGACCCUACUGUAACAUUUUACAUAACAAAAGUACCGUUAAAUACAACAGCAUUCUUAUCGUUCAUGAAAAUGGUUUG
rnacentral:rRNA from 1 species